AUUGAACGCUGGCGGCAUGCCUUACACAUGCAAGUCGAACGGCAGCACGGGAGCAAUCCUGGUGGCGAGUGGCGAACGGGUGAGUAAUAUAUCGGAACGUGCCCAGUAGUGGGGGAUAACUGCUCGAAAGAGCAGCUAAUACCGCAUACGACCUGAGGGUGAAAGGGGGGGAUCGCAAGACCUCUCGCUAUUGGAGCGGCCGAUAUCAGAUUAGCUAGUUGGUGGGGUAAAGGCCUACCAAGGCAACGAUCUGUAGUUGGUCUGAGAGGACGACCAGCCACACUGGGACGGAGACACGGCCCAGACUCCUACGGGAGGCAGCAGUGGGGAAUUGUUCACAAUGGGCGCAAGCCUGAUGACGCAACGCCGCGUGGAGGAUGAAGGUCUUCGGAUUGUAAACUCCUGUUGCCCGGGACGAAAAGCUUCGACCUAACACGUCGGAGUCUGACGGUACCGGGUGAGGAAGCCCCGGCUAACUCUGUGCCAGCCGCCGCCGUAAUAC
rnacentral:rRNA from 1 species